AGUCUCAGAGCCAAGGUCACACCGCCCUACACCUUGCUGUCCCCACAGCAUCUGCAGGAGGAGCAUGCCAGGACCAGAGACCCAGGGAGCAGCCUCACCAGAGGGAAAAGAGCCUGUAGAGUGGUGAGCUCAGGGCCUCACUCUGUCCCCCAGGCCGGAGUGCAGUGACAUGAUACGGCCCUCCCCAGCCUCUACCUCCUGGGCUCAAGAGAUCCUCCUGCCGCGGACUUCCUGGUAGCUGGGAUGAGGGGUAACGGGAAUGGCAGGACUGUGGUUGAGCUUUGGGAGCCCGGGAAGGAAGGAUACUGGAGCUGGGCUGAUCCAGGACAGCUUCCUGGAGGAGGCGGGAUUUAAACUGGUCAAUGAGGCUCCACGAAACCCUUCUGGGUGUGAGGUACAGAGCUCAGCACGCUGCUGGUCCUUAAAAAAAGAACCACAUGAGGGCAAUAAUCACGAGAGGACUGUGGUGCUAUGUGAAGAAGAAAUGAAACUCAUCCAUGAUAAUGGAGAUGAAAAUCCUAGUUCUUAGGACGGCCUCAAACUUUAGAAAACCUCACACGGACUCAGG
rnacentral:lncRNA from 10 species